GACGAACGCUGGCGGCGUGCUUAACACAUGCAAGUCGAACGGAAAGGCCCUGCUUUUGUGGGGUGCUCGAGUGGCGAACGGGUGAGUAACACGUGAGUAACCUGCCCUUGACUUUGGGAUAACUUCAGGAAACUGGGGCUAAUACCGGAUAGGAGCUCCGGCUGCUUGGGGGGGGUUGGAAAGUUUCGGCGGUUGGGGAUGGACUCGCGGCUUAUCAGCUUGUUGGUGGGGUAGUGGCUUACCAAGGCUUUGACGGGUAGCCGGCCUGAGAGGGUGACCGGCCACAUUGGGACUGAGAUACGGCCCAGACUCCUACGGGAGGCAGCAGUGGGGAAUAUUGCGCAAUGGGCGGAAGCCUGAUGCAGCAACGCCGCGUGCGGGAUGACGGCCUUCGGGUUGUAAACCGCUUUCGCCUGUGACGAAGCGUGAGUGACGGUAAUGGGUAAAGAAGCACCGGCUAACUACGUG
rnacentral:rRNA from 1 species